UUGAUUUUAGACAAUUUUAGAAUUCUAGUUUAGAGUCUUGUUAACAUUUUUUUUUAUUUUUUGUUUUUGUUUGUUGAUUUUCAGGGUUGCACCAUAGUGGUAAGAAUCACAGUCUAUUAGAUGAAUGUGUAAGCUACUAUUUUGAAUUACUCAUAUUUUUUUCUUCAGAAAAUCAAAAAUAAGGGAUUUUGACCCUCAAAAUCGUGAAUUCCUAUUUUUUCUAUUUGAUUUGUUUUUUUUUCUUUCUAUUUUGUGUAU
rnacentral:lncRNA from 1 species